UAUUAGGGCAAUGUAGAUAUUUCAUUCUUAAUUCUUUUUGAUCAAAACAUUAUUAAAUUUAGUAAAGGAGAUUAAAAGUUAUUAAAUAUUCUUAAAUUUCAAGUACUGUAGAGGAAUAGCCCCAAUUGAAAGAAAGAAAAAAUUAGAUUUU
rnacentral:rRNA from 1 species